UAUCGUUUAUUUGAUAGUACCUUACUACAUGGAUACCUGUGGUAAUUCUAGAGCUAAUACAUGCUAAAAACCCCGACUUCAGGAAGGGGUGUAUUUAUUAGAUAAAAAACCAACGCCCUUCGGGGCUCCUUGGUGAAUCAUAAUAACUUAACGAAUCGCAUGGCCUUGCGCCGGCGAUGGCUCAUUCAAAUUUCUGCCCUAUCAACUUUCGAUGGUAGGAUAGUGGCCUACCAUGGUGGCAACGGGUAACGGGGAAUUAGGGUUCGAUUCCGGAGAGGGAGCCUGAGAAACGGCUACCACA
rnacentral:rRNA from 1 species